rnacentral:rRNA from 1 species
CCUACGGGUGGCAGCAGUCGAGAAUCAUUCACAAUGGGGGAAACCCUGAUGGUGCGACGCCGCGUGGGGGAAUGAAGGUCUUCGGAUUGUAAACCCCUGUCAUGUGGGAGCAAAUUAAAAAGAUAGUACCACAAGAGGAAGAGACGGCUAACUCUGUGCCAGCAGCCGCGGUAAUACAGAGGUCUCAAGCGUUGUUCGGAAUCACUGGGCGUAAAGCGUGCGUAGGCUGUUUCGUAAGUCGUGUGUGAAAGGCGCGGGCUCAACCCGCGGACGGCACAUGAUACUACGAGACUAGAGUAAGGGAGGGGGAACCGGAAUUCUCGGUGUAGCAGUGAAAUGCGUAGAUAUCGAGAGGAACACUCGUGGCGAAGGCGGGUUCCUGGACAUUAACUGACGCUGAGGCACGAAGGCCAGGGGAGCGAAAGGGAUUAGAUACCCUUGUAGUC